rnacentral:rRNA from 1 species
CAACUUUGAGCGGUGGAUCA